rnacentral:misc_RNA from 1 species
AAGUCGUAACAAGGUUUCCGUAGGUGAACCUGCGGAAGGAUCAUUAUUGUAUAACCGAGGUGCGAGGGCUGUCGCUGACCCGAAAGGUCGUGCACGCCCGAGUGCCCUCACACACAUCCAUCUCACCCCUAUGUGCACCACCGCGUGGGUCCCCCUUUGGCUUGUUCGGAGGGGGGCUUACGUUUUCACACAAACUUUGUAUGCAGUGUAGAAUGUAUUUUUUGUUUUUGCGAUCACGCAAUCAAUACAACUUUCAACAACGGAUCUCUUGGCUCUCGCAUCGAUGAAGAACGCAGCGAAAUGCGAUACGUAAUGUGAAUUGCAGAAUUCAGUGAAUCAUCGAAUCUUUGAACGCACCUUGCGCCCCUUGGCAUUCCGAGGGGCACACCCGUUUGAGUGUCGUGAAAUUCUCAAAAACCUUUUUCUUUUUGGGAAAGGGUUUUUGGACUUGGAGGCUUUUUGCUGGCUUCACCUUGAAGUGAGCUCCUCCUAAAUGAAUCAGUGGGGUCCGCUUUGCCGAUCCUUGACGUGAUAAGAUGUUUCUGCGUCUUUGGGUUUGGCACUGUCACCUGCUUCUAACUGUCUCAUUGACAAUGAUGGUGCUCCGGUCACCACCGCUCUUAUCGGUGGGAGGCUUGACCCACAAAAACAAAACCUUGACCUCAAAUCGGGUGAGACUACCCGCUGAACUUAAGCAUAUCAAUAAGCGGAGGAAAAGAAACUAACAAGGAUUCCCCUAGUAACUGCGAGUGAAGCGGGAAAAGCUCAAAUUUAAAAUCUGGUGGCCUUUGGCCAUCCGAGUUGUAAUUUAGAGAA